UUUCUUUUAUUGAAGGCUAGUUACAUGGUUAUGAGCGGAACUCAUCGUUCACUUCUUGCUACUUUUGUCCAUUGAAGAACGAAGAUCUAUCUGAAACUUGAACACUUUUGAAGAACUAAGGCUAGUUACAUGGUUAUGCGGGAAACUCAUCGUUCACUUCUUGCUACUUUUGUCCAUUGAAGAAUGAAGACCUAUCUGAAACUUGAACACUUUUGAAGAACUAAGUUAUGAAAAGAGUGAAGCGAAAAAGAAUCCGUUAGAGGUUUGAGUCAGGAUUUUUCGAAUCAGGAUCUUGAGUCAGGAUUUCAAGUGCAGGUAUGGCUAGUCACUAAGGUUUACUAGCAGUUAUCUUUCGAUAUGGUUUGCUUGAGAGGCUUUGUGCCAUUACCGACUUGAAACACGGCUUGUCAGUUUAACCUACAAUUUUCCUAAAUUUUUUUAUGGUUUGGAAAUUUUAAAGACCUUGCUAUUGAUGAAAACGAUGUACAGGACAAAAUUAUCCACUUAUUCACCUAUAAUUUACAACUUCUUAAAGUUUUGAAGGUAUUGCAUCAUUUCCUCUUUUUUAUUUGUAAAAAUUUCAACAGCAUAGCUACUGAAUUUUCAAUAUGAUAACCCUGGAUGUCUCAUGAAUGUGAAUGGCCUUUGUUUUAGAAGAACAAAGCGUAAAAUAUUGUCCGUGCGCUCUUUUAUUUCUGGUCAAUGGGGUGUGACUCUCGUAUAAUUUAGAAUAUCUGCCAAAAUACCUAUAAAUCAGGUCAUCAGAAGUGAGGUAGGCUAUUAAUUAAUUGAGAACCCAGGUUUACAGCUAACUGCUACAAAUUAUUUUAAUCUUUGGGACAAUGGAUAUUGUUUUUGCAUAGUUGCACAAAAUUCUAAUGUCAUAGUUAGUUAGUUCACAAUGUGAGAAAGAGAAAGUUCAAUUUCAUGACCAAACUUAGAAAGCACUCUAACUAGGGCAUGCAGGCAUCCUAAAGGGUGGUCCUUGAUAGUAGUGGUAUGGGCUAGUCCAGUACGAAUUUGACAGGUAGUGUGAUGCAAAUGAAAAAGUAUUGUUAUGGAAAGGAGUUCUAUUGUUUUCUCGAGUUUGACGUAUCCAUGGUAACCAGAAGCCCCGCCCCCUUUGACGUCAUUAAUCUCGUUUCCGUGUUGACCGAGUAAAAAGCCUGGUUUCUAAGAUAAACAAAGUAAUCACGCAAUUU